rnacentral:lncRNA from 1 species
UGAGACAGAAAUAAAGAUGGUAGACUGGAGAUAACUGGAAGAAGCCCCUAUCAAUUCCCUAAAAAUUAAAGCAACUUUUCUUGUAAUUCCAGGCAACCAUGUUAAAAACUGGAGCAACUAUUUGCAAGUAGUUCCAUGAUAGUAGGCAUCUGUUUGUAGAGUAACAAAUAAAAAAGGUAAACUGCAGAUCACUGAAUAUAAAGCUCACAUGAAUUCAAUAAAACUGAAGCACUUUUAGUUGAAAAUUGCAGGCGAAGUCAUCCUUUGAAGCAACAAAUUUCACAAAAAAAUGAGUUUAUGUCAGUAAAAUCAGUUGUAUCUCAUGCAAAACCAACACCAAAACCCCCUUAGUUGCAUCAAAUGUGCAUUCGGCAUAGACACUGGUUCUUGAGUUUGCUCUUCAAUCACAGCCGGCAUACGCAAUAGUUCUCCAUGUUGCUCUUCGGCCACAUUUGGCACAACCUUCUUUUUCGUAGCAUGUCUCCGGAAAAUAAAAUAACGUUUCCGGUCUUCUUCAUUCUUCAGUAAUUCUGCAAUGAUAAUUUACAUUCUUUCAAAUUUCAAUCAUAACACCAUAGCUUAUCACUUGACAUUCUUUCUGAAAGUAAAUUAUUUACCACAAACCCAGAUAAGCUAGGACAUGUCAUGGUAGCCAAAACUACUCUAGAACAAGGCAUCCCUGGACUUUGUUGUAUCAUGAUAUCAUGCACCUCAAAACUACUCUCCAGUUAGCCUUAUUUGAUUCAGUAGCGGACUACUUUUAGACGGAACAACAGACACCACAGAAACAUCCUCCUAGAACCAUAACAACACACUAACCAUCAUCCAUCCAUUGAUUUCCACCAAGUACGAUUAAUUGUACAAGUAUAUCUCAAGAAGCCAAGAUAGGCAGAUCCUCCAUGGGGAACAGCUGCCAUCUACAAGUAGCAGGAGGGGCAAACCUAAGACUGGCGCUGCACUGAAAAAGACUGACGCGGUGGCGCCUGGCGACCGGUGGGGCACGGGGGCAGACCGCGGGCAGGGACCGCCGAACUAGCGGGGUCGCGCCUGGCGCUGGCGAGAGCUGGGAGGGGUCGGCGACGCGGGCGAGGAAUGCGUGGCUGCGCAACGCAUAGAGGAGCAGAGGCGAAUCGAGUCGGGGCACGGCCGUCCGGGUGGCUCCUGUCAUCCUGUGCGUGGGUGGGCUGCUUCUACUAGUACAGUACUAGUACAAGUGAGGUGAGGGGGAUGAAGAAGCUGUACCAGGAAAGAGGCGGCGGGUGCACGAGGGGCCGGCGCCGUCCGCGGCGGACGCGUCGGCGGUGGCGCCGUUGAUGUUGCCGGCGACCCUGCUGGCGCCUGUGGCGGCGCGACGAGGCAGUGGGCGGGG